rnacentral:rRNA from 1 species
GAAUGCUGACAUAAGUAACGAUAAAGCGGGUGAAAAGCCCGCUCGCCGGAAGACCAAGGGUUCCUGUCCAACGUUAAUCGGGGCAGGGUGAGUCGACCCCUAAGGCGAGGCCGAAAGGCGUAGUCGAUGGGAAACGGGUUAAUAUUCCCGUACUUGGUGUUACUGCGAAGGGGGGACGGAGAAGGCUAUGUUGGCCGGGCGACGGUUGUCCCGGUUUAAGCGUGUAGGUGUGUGUUCCAGGUAAAUCCGGUUCACUUUAACACUGAGGCGUGACGACGAGGCACUACGGUGCUGAAGCAACAAAUGCCCUGCUUCCAGGAAAAGCCUCUAAGCAUCAGGUAACAUCAAAUCGUACCCCAAACCGACACAGGUGGUCAGGUAGAGAAUACCAAGGCGCUUGAGAGAACUCGGGUGAAGGAACUAGGCAAAAUGGUGCCGUAACUUCGGGAGAAGGCACGCUGACACGUAGGUGAAGUGAUUUACUCAUGGAGCUGAAGUCAGUCGAAGAUACCAGCUGGCUGCAACUGUUUAUUAAAAACACAGCACUGUGCAAACACGAAAGUGGACGUAUACGGUGUGACGCCUGCCCGGUGCCGGAAGGUUAAUUGAUGGGGUCAGCGCAAGCGAAGCUCCUGAUCGAAGCCCCGGUAAACGGCGGCCGUAACUAUAACGGUCCUAAGGUAGCGAAAUUCCUUGUCGGGUAAGUUCCGACCUGCACGAAUGGCGUAAUGAUGGCCAGGCUGUCUCCACCCGAGACUCAGUGAAAUUGAACUCGCUGUGAAGAUGCAGUGUACCCGCGGCAAGACGGAAAGACCCCGUGAACCUUUACUAUAGCUUGACACUGAACAUUGAGCCUUGAUGUGUAGGAUAGGUGGGAGGCUUUGAAGUGUGGACGCCAGUCUGCAUGGAGCCGACCUUGAAAUACCACCCUUUAAUGUUUGAUGUUCUAACGUGGACCCGUUACCCGGGUUGCGGACAGUGUCUGGUGGGUAGUUUGACUGGGGCGGUCUCCUCCUAAAGAGUAACGGAGGAGCACGAAGGUUGGCUAAUCCUGGUCGGACAUCAGGAGGUUAGUGCAAUGGCAUAAGCCAGCUUGACUGCGAGCGUGACGGCGCGAGCAGGUGCGAAAGCAGGUCAUAGUGAUCC